GAUGAAGAACGUAGCGAAAUGCGAUAAGUAAUGUGAAUUGCAGAAUUCAGUGAAUCAUCGAAUCUUUGAACGCACAUUGCGCCCGCCAGUAUUCUGGCGGGCAUGUCUGUUCGAGCGUCAUUACAACCCUCAGGCCCCCGGGCCUGGCGUUGGGGAUCGGCGGAGCCCCCCGUGGGCACACGCCGUCCCCCAAAUACAGUGGCGGUCCCGCCGCAGCUUCCAUCGCGUAGUAGCUAACACCUCGCGACUGGAGAGCGGCGCGGCCACGCCGUAAAACACCCAACUCUUCUGAAGUUGACCUCGAAUCAGGUAGGAAUACCCGCUGAACUUAAGCAUAUCAAUAAGCGGAGGA
rnacentral:misc_RNA from 1 species